rnacentral:sRNA from 1 species
CGUAACAUGCUCAGGUCCGGAAGGAAGCAGCCACAGCGGGAACAUCGUGUGCCGGGGUGUGGCUGGCGGGGCCGCCUCCAUUUCAGGCCCG